AUGCUGCCCCGGCCCAGAGCCCUCCUGGCCGUCUGUGCCCUCCAGGGGCUGCUGCUGCUGCACGGUCUCGCUGAGGAAAAGCUUCUUCAGAAGCCAAAACUGAGCAUUUUCAAGGACCAAAUUGUCAUCUCACCAGGAGAUACCCUAAAAAUAAAAUGCUGGGGAGCCCCAUCUGUGAGCUGGCAGCUGAGGGAAGACAACCCCCGGGUGCACGUGAGCGGCUGCCGUGACAUCUCCGGGCUGAGCUGCAGCCAGCUCGUCCUCAGGAGAGCCACUGCCAAUGACACUGGGUACCUCAGCUGUGCCCUCAACAGCACCCCCGAGCACCAGGGAGCUGUGGCCAGGAUCUAUGUCUUUGUCCAAGGUAAGAAUUUUGCUUUUUAAAUGGUGUUGGGCUGUGGGAGCUGCGUGAGCUCUCCAAUCUCUGCGCCCCUCUCCACUGGCCCAGGAGGAAGCAGCAGCUCUGACUCUGAACAGACCAAAUAGAUCUGGGUUGUCAUGGCAGGUGGAUUUUUAUGCCAGCUGAAUUCUCAGGGAUAUGGAUGUGAGAACCUGAGAUUGCCCAUCCAGUGCAGUUCCAGGAUUUCCAAGCUGUCCCAUCAGUUCAGUGUCUCAAGUAACAGAUACACUGACUUCCUUAAAUAUCCCUUCCUUUUAAGACUAAAUUCUCCAGUUCUAAAGGGUUUUGCUGUCACAGUGCUUUUCCAAGGAUGCUCAAGCCCUGUCUCUUUCCCUUCCUCCCAGGCAUGGACAGAAUUCUUUGUAAUUCCUGCCCUCCUACACAUUUGUCCUUACAUCCAUGAGACAUUCCUAGCAGAGCUGGGUGACUGCAUUGGACAUAUUUUAUUGUAAAAAAUGUCCCAUUGCUCAUUUCUGUUCCCUUUGAGCUGUCUGUCCCCCACAUCCCAGAAUCAUUGAGUUCAGAUCCAGGAAUAAAUGGAAGCAGGAACUUCA
rnacentral:lncRNA from 1 species